UUGGUCUUAGCCAAGUGGUUAACGCAGCAGAAUCGAAAUCUGCUUCGGUUGGACUGGGCAGGUUCGAAACUUGCUGAUUAAC